rnacentral:rRNA from 1 species
CACGUAGGGCGCAAGCGUUGUCCGGAAUUAUUGGGCGUAAAGAGCUCGUAGGCGGUCUGUUGCGUCUGCUGUGAAAACUCGGGGCUUAACCCCGAGCCUGCAGUGGAUACGGGCAGACUAGAGGUAGGUAGGGGAGAAUGGAAUUCCCGGUGUAGCGGUGAAAUGCGCAGAUAUCGGGAGGAACACCGGUGGCGAAGGCGGUUCUCUGGGACGGUACUGACGCUGAGACGCGAAAGCGUGGGGAGCAAACAGG